rnacentral:tRNA from 1 species
ACUUAAAUAGUUUAAAUAAAAUUUUGAUUUGUGGUAUCAAAUAUAUAAGGUUAAUCUUAUUUUAAGUU